GAUGAACGCUGGCGGCGUGCCUAAUACAUGCCAGUCGAGCGAACAGAUGAGGAGCUUGCUCCUCUGACGUUAGCGGCGGACGGGUGAGUAACACGUGGAUAACCUACCUAUAAGACUGGGAUAACUUCAGGAAACCGGAGCUAAUACCGGAUAAUAUAUUGAACCGCAUGGUUCAAUAGUGAAAGACGGUUUUGCUGUCACUUAUAGAUGGAUCCGCGCCGCAUUAGCUAGUUGGUAAGGUAACGGCUUACCAAGGCAACGAUGCGUAGCCGACCUGAGAGGGUGAUCGGCCACACUGGAACUGAGACACGGUCCAGACUCCUACGGGAGGCAGCAGUAGGGAAUCUUCCGCAAUGGGCGAAAGCUUGACGGAGCAACGCCGCGUGAGUGAUGAAGGUCUUCGGAUCGUAAAACUCUGUUAUUAGGGAAGAACAAAUGUGUAAGUAACUAUGCACGUCUUGACGGUACCUAAUCAGAAAGCCACGGCUAACUACGUG
rnacentral:rRNA from 1 species